AAUAGAUUUUUCAGAUAUUAUUUUCCGCUACGUUUAUUGUCAUCGACCAAAAUGCCUAUUUUAUUGCAUUUUGGGAAAGCGCAGUGGGCGUCCGCUUUGAAAUUAUCCUGUGUUGCAAUGAUGGUAAUUCUGGCCUGUCCAGUGAACUCCAUGGAUGUGCUGGUGCCACCACAGAUCCUUGCUCUCAACGGGACAGAUGUCAGAAUCCCCUGUGCGUUCACCUCAUGCUACAAGCUGGACCCCAGCAAGUUUGCCAUGAACUGGACCUAUCAGGAGACAAGCAACAGCACAGAAGAAAUGUUCAUGACUUAUAAGAACAAGAUAACACCUUUGAAGUCGAGCCGAUUUGGAGAUCGAGUCAUAUUUUCUGGAAACCUGGAUAAAAACGACCUGACCAUCACUAUUUUAGAUGUGCAGUUGACGGAUGAGGGCAUGUACAACUGCUAUGUGCGCAACCCUCCAGACCGCUUUCCGGGCAACGGCACCAUCCAGGUCUUCGUCCUGACUGAAUUGCCACCACCAAGAGAUUCGACCAUUGCUGUUGCCAUCGGAGCAUCUGUGGGGGGAAUUCUAGCUUUGCUUAUUCUGUCCAUGGUCGUGGUGAAGUGUAUUCGCAGACAUAAGAACCAGGAGCUGAUCUCAGAUGAGCAGAAGAUGGAAGAAGAGGGCAAAGUAGAUGGAGAAGGAGGCACAGAAGAAGCAACAAAACAGCCCUAACCCGCCAUCUUAGCCAUGGAGGCCUAAUGGAUGGUGGAGCUCCAUCCUACACAUUCUGAAAUUUAAGCCUCCUUCCCGAAGAUAUAUAAAACUUGUUUGACUCUUCAUCCUAUAACUGUCUCAUUCAACAUUCCUCGGUUUUCUCGUGUAGCAGUCAAACAUGUCAUAUAGGAAGAUCUCCACCACAGUGCCAUGGUGUCCAGUUACCAGUGAGAAAACAAAAAGGGUUUCAAAAUGCCUCUUCCACUCAAAACGACAGGUUAAGGUAAUAACUUCCUGCAGAACUCUUUGUUUGGACCACCCUUUUUUUCAAAGCCAAGUAAUUUCUUUUUUUCUUCAACUACUGCCACUAUUAGCACUAUUAAUAUCAGCCAUCCAGUAUUUCUGCUGAGAAUUUUCUAAAGAGAUGAAUUUUAAACUACACAAGGUCCUUCUUACAACUGCCAAAGUGUUUUUACCCUUAUAGUGUUUAUACGUUUUAAGAGUCUCUUGAGAAAUCACUGCCCUCAACAACCUCUCAAGUGGAUGUAAAAGCAUAAUGUGUGUGUUUGUGUGUGUGCCUUCUCAUUAUGCCAGUUUCCCCCCGUUGGGUCUAAAAGUUUAUGCUGUUUUUACAGCAGACUUUUAAGCCAGGACCAUGACUACACAUCAGUGUUCAAAAUCUAUAAAUCGCUAGUUGACAGCACAUAGCACACCUCCAAAACAUGUACAAUCAUUGCAUGACAAUUUCCUUAUGCAUGAUACACACAAUUUGCACAAAACAAAUCAUCAAUUUGCACAAACAUCUGGCACAUUCCACAAAUAGAGUAUAUUUUGCUGUUCCAUGACAUUUUUAAAAGCCUUUAUAGGCAUUAAUGCUAUGUUGUCUUUAUUUCGACCUAUUAUAUAUUGCAUAUUUGUUAUCAAAAAUGAAACUUAGCAUGACAAAUGUUUUUGGGGUUUUUUUGCUCGUUUGUUAAUGGUGAUUUUGACUUCUUCCUAAGAGGACUUGGUCUUCAUGACUAUCUAACAAGUAAAAUCACAAAAAAGCAUCCAUCCAUCCAUCUUCUUCGCUUAUUCAAGGUCGGGUCGUGGGGAUAGCAGUUUAACUAGGGAUGCCCAGACUUCCUUCUCCCCAGACAUUUCCUCUUCUGGGGUAACACCGAGGUGUUCCCAGGCCCAGUCGAGAGACUUAGUCCCUCCAGCGUAUCUUCCCAGGCGUUUCCUGGUGGGACAUGCCUGGAACACCUCCCCAGGGAGGCGUCCGGAAGGCAUCUGGAACAGAUGCCCCAGCCACUUCAGCUGGCCUCUCACAAAAUGGAGGAGUUGACAGAGUGACAGAACUCAUCACCCCAUCUCUAAGUGAGCGCCCAGCCUCCCUAUGGAGGAAACUCAUUUCAACAACCUGUAUCCAGGAUCUCAUCUUUUCGGUCAUGCCCAUAGCUCAUGUCCAUAGGUGAGAGUAGGAACGUAGAUCAACUGGUAAAUUGUGAGCUUGGCCUUGCAGCUCAGCUCCUUCUUUACCACGAUAGACCGGUACAUUGACUGCAUUACUGCAGAAGCUGCACCGAUCCAUCUUUUAAUCUCUCAUUUCAUCCUUCCCUCAAUCAUGAACAAGAUACCUAAACUCCUCCACCUGAGGCAGGACCUCCCCACCAACCUGAAGGGGACAAGCCACCCUUUUCUGACUGAAAACUAUGGCCUCAGACUUGUAGGUGCUGAUUCUCAUUCCAGCAACUUUACACUUGGCUACAGUGCUAGCAGGGCGCUCCCGAGGCGCUGGAAUAGUUUGCCAGAACCUCUUCGAGGCCAACCGAUAGCCUUAAUGGCCUCACUGAACUCCUCCCAGACCCAAGUUUUUGCCUCCACAACCACCUGGGCUGCAGUCUGCAGUACGCAUCCCUUACUUCCGUAGUCCACCACCGGGUUGGGUGGUUGCUGCCGUGACAGGCACUGGAGACCUUACAGCCACAGCUCCAAACAACUGCAUCGACAGUGGAGUCAGAGAACAUAGUCCACUCGGACUCAAUGUCUCCAAGCUCCCUCGGGACCAUUCCCAACAGACCCUCACAGUACGUUUGGGCAUGCCAAAUCUGUUCAGCUUCUUCCCCCACCAACAGAUCCAAAAUUUAAAGUAAAAGUGAGUGAAUUCUUAAUUUCUUUACUAAACUUAUUAAAACAGAUGUCCCCCUUUACUAAAUAAGUAAAUAAACAAAUGUGUGAGACCCCCAAAAAUAAGCUAGUUUGGAUGUAAAUAAUCUCUAUUUUCCCAAUUAUAAAUAGACAAAAGAUCAAAGAAAUAUUGUACUCUGUGACAUCUUAAUUUAUGCUAAAUUUGCUCUAAUUUACAACCCUGAAGAAAAACAAAUGAAGCUAUUUUGUACCCUAUUUAUGGAAAAUGCCAUUUCCAAAACAUUGCUUUCACACUUAGCAUCAUCAUUUCAGGUGCAAUUAUUAUGUGGCAAGUUACAUCUAUAUAAAUCUAUUUAUAGAUAAAAGCCAAAAAACAACCUAUUCAGAAAUUUGAUUGUUAAUAUUACCAAUUGUGUUUAACAUGUAUGUUGUGGUGUGUUAUUGGGAAUGUGUGAAUUUAUUUUAAUUGAGUAUCUUAUUGAACGUAUAAACUGUGGAAUUAAUUUUUUGUCAAUACUGAAUUUAUUAGCCUCAUAAUCAAAUUUCACACAUCAUAUAAUCUGUUCUGAAAGAGGCUAAAAUGGUUUUAAAUUGAGUAAAAAGCAAAUUAAAGAUAAUGGAUUAAGGAAUGCGCAUUUGAUCAAAGGAAUUAAAAAAAUCGAAUCUGUAUGACAUCAUACAGAUUAAAUAAGAAACUUUGAAGUAAACUUUCAAGUAAUUGGGAAUCCAUCAUGUAAUGGUAAUCCAGUUUGAAACACAGUGAUUGUAAACCUUUAGUGGACUCGUGGUAAUAGACUGCAGACUGUGUAGUAGAUUAUGUAGGGAAGGGACAGGUCCCCUACAUACCAUCUGCUAAAUCAAACAAUUUCAAAGAAUAGCCUCAAUAGUAUUUUGUGUUAUGAUCAGGAAACAUGAGUAUUAAAUAGCUAUAUUCAAUGAAAAAUAAAUAUAUAAAAAAUAUAUAAUAUGUUUGUAUAUCGUAAUCUUGGAUGAUGUUGAAAAGUAGCAGUAUAUGUCUAAUUUAAACAUUCUGUAUAUUUAAAUUGAAGACAAUGUCAUAAAGAUGUAGGCUCAUUUACAUUUUUUUCUUCUUAGUUCUGAUAUAAAUCCUUGUACAAGAUAUACAUUAUUUGCCUACAGACCAUAGGAGUAAAGUAUGUCAGGAUUCAUUUUACUUCAUGUAUAUUGCUUGGUGUGCAUGCUGUAACACUGCAUUCAUGCAGCACAGGCCCAAAGCCUGGAGCCACAGUGAUUUUGUGGCCAGGAAGCCCCACCCUCUGCUGGGCAAAGCCGACACCCACACUGGCUUCUGUUCACUCACACUUUAACUCACUCAAUCCCCUUCUGACUGGCUUAUUUUAUUUAUUUAUUUAUUUUAAAUUACACUCCUAAAUCAUAUUGUACUCCAAUAAGUAUUAAAUAAAUCAAGUUGUACUGCUUCUUGUUAUAUAAAAAAGUAUCAUGAAGGAUUGUUGUGUUACCUUUAUAAUUUAGCUCCAUUUUGAACUCAAAUUCACUGUUAUGGAAUGUAUCUAUAUCAUUGUUGAUUUUAACGUUUAAUUCAGUAAUGCUUUAUUGUAUCAUGAACCUAAACAGAGAUUUCUGUAUUGUGUAAUCAUUGCUGUUAACUGUUAUUGCUAUGUAUCCAAUGAUAAUCAUGUAUUCAAUGACACUCAGUUACUUUGUUCACUUACACAUGUAUUUACCAUGUAUUAGAUAUUUACGUAAUAUGAGCAACAUCAGGCAUCCACAAAACGACAAAAAAGUCUUCUGAAGGAUAUAACAAAACCAUAAGCUCAUAAUUUGAUUUGCUGCGCAGCAGUUAACAUUAAGCAGCUUGUGAAAUCCAGACUGUGGCACAAUGAUUUUAUGGCUAGCACUUUAGUGGUUGCCAUUCAUAGAUUGAGUUGCCAGGAAGCAUUACUCUAAAUCCCUGAUUAUCUUCUAUUAGAAUUAGACAACCAUAUCCUAGUUACUUGUUUGCACAUAUUCAUAUGUAAUGAUGUAACAACUGGGUUAUUGAACUGUUAAAAGCCUGGUAUUAUGCUGAAGGCGAAUUUUAUCACAUAUAUGAUGAAAUCAUGAUACCAUAUUAUUGAUUGUACUGCCUUGAUGUCUUCUUUAAUGCAUUUGCCUUCAAGUUUUAAUUUGUACAACAAGAUCGUUCAAACGUAACAUUUCUGUGGGCAUAAACAAUGACAGCAAUCCAGUGAGGUUGGUUGGAAUGGUUCGGGGACCAGUUUUUUGCUUGUUUUUCCAUCAUGCAUGCCUCUGUUUUAGUGUGUCGCUGAAUGUCUGACUCUGGCCUACUUUAAAUACAUACUGUAUGCUUGCACUGCACCAUAAAUAAGAGCUGCAUCACUGAUUGUUUUUUCAAUAAAAACAAUGAAACAAA